rnacentral:rRNA from 1 species
GUGGGGAAUAUUGGACAAUGGGCGCAAGCCUGAUCCAGCAAUGCCGCGUGGGUGAAGAAGGUCUUCGGAUCGUAAAGCCCUUUCGACAGGGACGAUGAUGACGGUACCUGUAGAAGAAGCCCCGGCUAACUUCGUGCCAGCAGCCGCGGUAAUACGAAGGGGGCUAGCGUUACUCGGAAUUACUGGGCGUAAAGGGCGCGUAGGCGGCUCUGUUAGUCAGGCGUGAAAUUCCUGGGCUUAACCUGGGGACUGCGCUUGAUACUGCAGGGCUUGAGGCCGAGAGAGGGUGGUAGAAUUCCCAGUGUAGAGGUGAAAUUCGUAGAUAUUGGGAAGAACACCGGUGGCGAAGGCGACCACCUGGCUCGGUUCUGACGCUGAGGCGCGACAGCGUGGGGAGCAAACAGGAUUAGAAACCCUGGUAGUCC